rnacentral:rRNA from 1 species
UACAGAGGUCUCAAGCGUUGUUCGGAUUCAUUGGGCGUAAAGGGUGUGUAGGUGGCGCGCUAAGUCGGGUGUGAAAUUUCGGAGCUUAACUCCGAAACUGCAUUCGAUACUGGCGUGCUUGAGGACUGGAGAGGAGACUGGAAUUUACGGUGUAGCGGUGAAAUGCGUAGAUAUCGUAAGGAAGACCAGUGGCGAAGGCGGGUCUCUGGACAGUUCCUGACGCUGAAGCACGAAGGCCAGGGGAGCAAACGGG